UGCCAGCCGCCGCGGUAAUACGGAGGGGGUUAGCGUUGUUCGGAAUUACUGGGCGUAAAGCGCACGUAGGCGGAUUAGAAAGUUGGGGGUGAAAUCCCAGGGCUCAACCCUGGAACUGCCUCCAAAACUCCUAGUCUAGAGUUCGAGAGAGGUGAGUGGAAUUCCGAGUGUAGAGGUGAAAUUCGUAGAUAUUCGGAGGAACACCAGUGGCGAAGGCGGCUCACUGGCUCGAUACUGACGCUGAGGUACGAAAGCUAGGGUAGCGAACGGGAUUAGAUA
rnacentral:rRNA from 1 species